rnacentral:lncRNA from 1 species
UUUCUCUCAUGAAAAAAUCACGAAAAUAGAAAAAGCACAUGGCCAUAAAUAGUGAUAGGAGAGAGAUGUAGGUGAAGAAUCAUUAAAUAAUUUGUGUAAGGUAACUCCGGUAUAAUCACAAGGGAUAAUGGUUCAAAGCAUAGCUACCUAACAUUUCGAUUAAACUUUGCAUUAUCCUUACUAAGGUUAAGUUCAAAUCGAAAGAUACUUAACUAUAUUAAUAAUCUCUGUUUCUCUUUUAUGGAAUCGAUC